CAACUGCGCAAUUUAAACGAAGCCAUUGCAAUUUUUUGCACGACAUUUUUGUGGACAUCAUAUUUAGGAGGUGUUUUCAUCUUUUCGGACAUAACCUAACUAAAUAUAUGUUAAAAUUUCAAGAAUGGAGACAUAUGGAAUUACACCUUUGAUAGAUACAACCCAAACCUACCUGUUCACCUACGAUGGGAAAUUGAUUCAAUCACUCCCUGAUAGAUCAGGCUUCAUUGUAUAUAACUCAGAAAAUGUUUCAAAUGUGGUCAAAAACCCUUUUUAUGACGACUCUAAUGAUAACAAAAAUACCGAUACAUCAAUAGGAGUAAAUCAGUUGAAUUCCAGUUUAUCAGUCACAUUUUGUAGUAGAAAUAAUACAAAUAUAACUAAUGGUAUAUGUGAAUUAGACCGAGGUUCAUACACGAAUUUUACUGAGACCAAUGAUAGAAAUAUAGAUAGAAACACAACCAGAGAUGUAGGUAGACUAGUCUCUAGUUUUCCUGUCAUUUCAAAUGAAAAUGAAUUCAAUGAUAUUCAUAGAAAUAGAAACAUAACCAUAUAUGAAGAUGUACACAACUAUUCUUAUUAUUUAGAUCAAUUGGAUGUUUAUCGUAUUUUUGAUGAGGCACAUAUUUCUAUUCAGUUGUCCAGAUCUGUUGUUCUAGUUGAUCAUAUCGACAAUGACUUGGUUGAAUUGGAAUCAAUGGGCAAUCCAACAACACGGAUGUAAUGUAUAAAUAGUGAUUGAUGAUAUAAACAGCCACAUCAAAUAUUAAACAAUUUAUUUUAUAUACAAUAUCUAUAAAAAUGUUUUUUUUUACUUUAUUUUUUUUAAGCUUAUUUGUAAUGCUAGUAUGUAUUUGAUGUAUUAGAACACCUGUGAGUAAUGAAUCAGCAGAAACUAAACUCUGGUUUGGUUUCUUAAACUGCUGGGGAACGGUGUAAUACAUUAAUUUACAUUUAUACAUUUUCAAAUGAAGUAUGUAACAAUCGAUUUACAAUUAAUUUCUUUAAGACCAUUUUUCGGCCAAAAUGUUAUGUCAAAAUGUCGAAAUUCCUCAAACAGCCUAUUCUUCAGUGAGUAUCAUUGAAUGUUUGCUCUGCCAUCUGAUGGACAGUUAGGCAGAGCUACAUGUAGCACCAGUGAUAAAACAGUAUGCCAUAAUCUAAACCUCCCUAAAUGUGAUAUACAUUUUAUUGAUAGCGUGAUGAAACUUCCUUGGUAUAAUGCCUUGAAUGUGAUUCUAUAUCAGGAUCUCUCUUGAUUGUUAACCAUGAGCAAGUGACAGUUAAAUUCCAAAGUUUCCUCCCAAGAUGUCCAGCUGCAGUUUCUUCAAUAUGUUUUCAAAAUAUUUUGAACUUUACAACUAGCAACUACAGACAAAAAUUUGGACAAAAUGUGAUGCUCAAUUUAUUUUAAUGACUUUUUAAAGGACUACGUCAUAGAUAAAGAUCAGUGCAAACAUGUCAUCUUAUUUCCAUUACGCAUGCUUAAUAUUACUCACAUCUUACAAUUAUUGCUUCGACGUUAUGAAACAUUAUAAUUUCUAUUGAAGAUUAAUAUUAAUUUAAAGUUUACAACUGUAUACUUGGAAGUGUUACAUGUAUUAGGAUAUUUUUUUCAAGUAUGUCUUUGGAUUUAUCACAGAACUUUGCCUACGUAUCCAUUUUUAUGUCAAGUUACAAGAUCCCUCUGCUUU